rnacentral:misc_RNA from 1 species
AAGUCGUAACAAGGUUUCCGUAGGUGAACCUGCGGAAGGAUCAUUAUAAAAUGCUUAAACGCAUCCACCUUUUGUGCACUGUUAACUGUCCCUUUGGCGAUGCUUCGAAUUUUAAUGCGGUCGCAUUAAAUUUGACUUGCAUUUAGGCCGGAUUCGCGUUUAGACGCGUUCUUCCCGCCCAGGUGACAAGCGGCUCGCCGAAGGAUUCUAUUAAACUCCAUUUAAACUUUGACUGAAUGUAUUUAUUCCUUCGAGAAUAAAAAAUCUUAAUAAAAUACAACUUUUAACAACGGAUCUCUUGGCUCUCC